rnacentral:lncRNA from 1 species
CUCCAAGGAGGUGGAGUAUUUGAUCCCUUUAGAAAGGCAGUGAUUUUGAAAUUCAGGUUUAGACAAAAAGAUAUUUCAAGCUCCUGAAGAACAAGUUUGAAGGAUUCGGAGUAGAGAAUUGCACCCUGGCAUGAUGACUAUGCCAGCUGGACUGUGUGAUUUUUGUUCUUUACUAGAAGGAUAACAUGACAUAGCAGAAAUAGUACUGCCUUUUCUUUCUGGCAUGGAUCAAGAGAAGAGAGAAUACAAGAAAACAGACAGAAGGGAAUGGCUUCUUGUUUCAAGGAAGGUGAAGAAUAAGAUACAGAUAUCUGUAGAGGCCUUCAAUAGCUCAUCCAGGAAAUAUCUGGAUGGGAAUAUAUUGAAGCAGAAAAUUCGCAGGCAAUAGUUGCUAACAGGAAAAAAAAAAGAUUAUAGAAAAUGAAUCUGUCAGAAAUAAGCCUCAAGGAAGUCAUAACCUUGAUUCAGGUGGUGCCAAUUUAUUUUGACCUCUUUGGGGAAAAAGCUACUGAUAACUUUGUAUUGUGAAAGUA